CUGCCCAUUGAUGNNAUNGNGGGUUAGAUCUGCCCUUAUCGCAAGAUGAGGGCUUCCAUAUACACCGUGAACUGUGGCUUCGGCCAUCACAAACUGUUAGUAAUGAAUGUAAUAUCAUAACAAAAACAAAACUUUUAACAACGGAUCUCUUGGCUCUCGCAUCGAUGAAGAACGCAGCGAAAUGCGAUAAGUAAUGUGAAUUGCAGAAUUCAGUGAAUCAUCGAAUCUUUGAACGCACCUUGCGCCCUUUGGUAUUCCAGGGGGCAUGCCUGUUCGAGCGUCAUUUGUACCCUCAAGCUCUGCUUGGUGUUGGGUGUUUGUCUCGCGGAUCUGCGUAGACUCGCCUUAAAACAAUUGGCAGCCGGCAUGUUAGCCUGGAGCGCAGCACAUAUUGCGCCUCAUGCUAGCGAAUGUUGGCCCCCAUCAAGUCCAUUUAUUUGCUCUUGACCUCGGAUCAGGUAGGGAUACCCGCUGAACUUAAGCAUAUCAAUAAGCGGAGGA
rnacentral:rRNA from 1 species